AGAACCUUCUGGCGCAGGCCUCUUCCCCACCUCCGGUGCUGGGGCGAGGGGCUCGUGCAGCUGGGAUCCAGAGAGGGGGCCCACGGACCCUAGGAGGGGCAGUCUUCGGCAGGCAGCCGCUCCGGCGGGCGGCCCUGAUAAACAAGUGAAUUUCCGGUAACAGGAAAAAAAGGUUCCCAGGCUAGGGGUCCAGUCGGAGCUGCAGCUGCCAACCUGCACCAGAGCUACAGCAACGCGUGAUCCCAGCCGCGUCUUCCACCUACACCACAGCUCACGGCAGCGCAGGAGCCUUAAUCUCUGAGGGAGGCCAGGGAUCGAACCCGCGUCCUCAUGGAGGCUAGUCGUAUUCACUAACCGCUGAGCCACGGCGGGAACUCCCUGAACUUCUGCCUUCUGCCUUUUCCCUCUUCCCCAAGUCUAGUGCCUCCCUGUUUUUUUUAGACCCUCAGGGAGUCACCUUCCCAGAGCGCUCAUCCCCCAGCAAGCCCCGCCUCCCCUUGGCAAGCUCCACCUCCACCCCACAAGCCACGCCUCCCCACUAGCUCCACCUAUCACAGCUCUUUUCUCAUUAUCUUGUAAAUAUCUUGUAAAUAUUUCUUCCCCUUGCUGCCUCCCCUGUGAGCCGGGGAGCUCUCCCAGGAUGGGGCCAAGUUUGAGCCUCUGGAUUCCCAGCUCCUGACACUGGGGAGGUUCUCAGUAAGCGUCUAGGGGAAGUGUUCCAGGAGCUUAGCCACGCUGGCCCAGGAGUUCGCAGGGCACAGGGGAGCAAGGCCUGCGGCCAAGGGUCUGCAAGUGGCCACGGUACUACUGCGGCUGCAGUGCAGAGACCGGUUCAUGCAGGACCUUGAAGAUCUUGGCACCGACCUUGACCGCGUACUCUACACGUCACACUGUGUGCUGCAGCCACACCAAACUGCUCUCUACUCCUAGAACCCACCAGGCUCUCAUCUUCCAGGCUUUGCCUGCACUCUUCCUGGGACCCCUGCUUUCCUCCAACACCCCCCCCAACAUGUCCACCUCCCCCUGGCUGACGGUGCCUCCCAGGCCCCCUUAUCAUUCAGGCCCCAGAUUAGAUUAGAUUAGAUCCCUCUUUAUCUAGACGACCUCUCCCCCAUUUUUUGUACUUUUAGGGCCACACCUAGGGUAUAUGGAGGUUCCCAGGCAGGGAGCUGCACCUGCCGACCUACACCACAGCCAGAUCUGAGCCACGUCUGCCACCUCACCACGGCUCACGGCAACGCCGGAUCUGAGCCACAUCUGCAAACGACAACAUGGCUCGUGACAACGCCAGAUCCUUAACCCACCAAGUGAGGCCAGGGAUCAAACCUGCGUCGUCAUGGAUGCUAGUCAGAUUCGUUUCCGUUGAGGCACGCUGGGAACUCCCUAGACCCCUUCUAGAUUCUCUCCUUCUUUUAUGCCCCUGGAAGACCCUGGCCCUUCUCCUUCAUAACCCUGACUACACAGUAUGGUGUUUUCUCUUUACUGGGCAGAGUCCCCUGUGAGCCUAUAAACUCUGGGGGUAGGGUCUGUGUCUAUCUUGUUCCCUUCAUAUCCCUUAUAUCUAAAAUGACAACAAAAAAUACUCCUGAAAUAAAUGAAUGGGAGGAACGUGAA